UAGUUUUGCUUUUAUCCCUUGUUUAGAUUCGAUUAAAUUCAUCAAAACAGAAAGUUGGUCUCAAGAAGCUAUCGAAAGAAACUCUUUAUCCAAGAACAGGUCUCGAAGAACCCUAAAUUUUUAAAUCGACCGUUCACCCAUUCGUACGCUGCGCUAGUAUCCAAACGUCGUGCAUGUCUACUGCUGCAAAAACGCACGGGUCAGUGUCACCCACACCCUAUUAUUAAUUGUUCGUCUUAGCUGAGCAAUGGGCUUCCUUUUCGACCCAGUGUGAUAAGUUUCCACUUUGACCAUAGAAUGGGCUUCAGAACUGGCCUAUAUUGUAAAGGCCGAUUUGGUUAAUAUUCUCCGAUGCAGAUUUAUCCUUGUGUGCGUAAAAAAAAAAUGAAAUUUCAAAUUUUAGACACAUUAGCAAAUAAUAAUGUAACUAGUGAUCUUUGUUGUUCCGGUGACCGGUGGCCUUGUGCUGCCGGUUACCUAUCCUUUUGUUAUUUUUGUUUUGUUGUAAAAUAACUCUUCGCAAGGCGAUUUCUGUUCCCUUAGUGUAUCUUUCACUUCGCGAUGGCGGAUUUUUUUGUUUUGUAGCUAUCUCAAUUUCUUCAUGAUAUUUUCUUUUUUUUCUCUGAUUUUAGUUGGGUAAAUAAUAUUUCGGCUUCUUCCUUUGUGUGUUUGAUUUAAAAUCCCGUUUUAUAUCGAGAGAGAUGAUUGUCUUUCUCUGGUUAUUCUCAAGACUAAUUCUUUGUUUAGCCGAUUGGCUUAUUUGCAGAGUAUCUUAAGUUCUUUGAGUCGAUUGAUUAAGCUUGGGAAUUAUUUGGAAGACUCAGUAGAGUUGAAGCUCCUCGUAAAGAGACGCGUUUCUAUCCAUAAUUUCUGAAGCUUUCUCGUUGGUAUUCACAUCUAGUAGAGAUUGAUAAGAUAUCUCUUUGGUAGCGACGGAUAGUACGGAGGAAGGGGUAACUGCAGAUGGUUUCAAUGACUGAAGAUGCUUUCUAUUUGACGAAAAGUCAAAGCUUCGUUAAUGGGCAAGAGACAAAGAUACAAGAUGCAAUUUCGGAAGAGUCUGUGGUGGAGAAACUUUGCGGUGAUCGGAAAGGUGAAUUGUGGCAUGAAGGACACGUGUGUUAACACGAGUUUAGUUAAUAUCCCAGAAGCUUGAUACGUGUUAAAGUUGAUAAUAUCAACUACCGCUUUAUGGACAUUUCUGUGUAUUUUAAGUUAUUAUCUUUGUUGGGCUUUAUUCAAUUGAUACCUCUGUAAUAUGUCAGUUGGGCCUCAUUUCAAUGAAAUGAAAAUGUUGACAAAAAAAAAGUAGCGUAGAAAGUUCCGGAGUUCAUCUUAGAUUGUAAUUUGUAAAGUAAAUUUUAGGACAUACAUGAUUUUUAAGAGAAAAUGAGAUAAUAUGAUAUAUACUUCAUUUUUGGCAUAACUUAUAGAAUCAAUGAUAAUAAAUUAAAGCUCCUAAGAAAAAUUUAUAUAUAUAUAUAAGAUUAUACAUUCCAAAAUAGUAAUCCAAAGGACAACUACUUUCCCUUUUUCUUGUCUUGUGAAUUAAAACGAGGAAAAAUACGUUUAUAACGAAUAAAAUCAUCUCCUAACAAAAUCUCUUGGUCGGUUGGCAAAAACGACACCGUGUUUCAUAAGCCAAUAUCUUUCUAUCUCCUCCGGCGUCCGUCCCGGAAUCCUUCCGGC
rnacentral:lncRNA from 1 species